ACACGACUACGAGUUGAUCAUGGCUCAGGAUGAACGCUAGCGGCAGGCCUAAUACAUGCAAGUCGAACGGAUAUAUGUUUUUCGGAAUAUAUAUUAGUGGCGCACGGGUGAGUAACACGUACAUAACUUGCCCUCAAGCGGGGGAUAGCCUUGGGAAACUGAGAGUAAUACCCCAUAGAAUUAUUGGACGGCAUCGUUUGAUAAUUAAAACUACGGUGCUUGGGGAUAGAUGUGCGUCUGAUUAGCUAGUUGGUGAGGUAACUGCUCACCAAGGCGACGAUCAGUAGGGGGCGUGAGAGCGUGGCCCCCCACACGGGUACUGAGACACGGACCCGACUCCUACGGGAGGCAGCAGUAAGGAAUAUUGGUCAAUGGAGGGAACUCUGAACCAGCCAUGCCGCGUGAAGGAUGACGGCCCUCUGGGUUGUAAACCUCUUUUGGAUGGGGCGAAAAAACGGGAUUUAUCCUGGACUGACGGUACCAUCAGAAUAAGCACCGGCUAACUCCGUG
rnacentral:rRNA from 1 species